AACGAACGCUGGCGGCAUGCCUAACACAUGCAAGUCGAACGAGACCUUCGGGUCUAGUGGCGCACGGGUGCGUAACGCGUGGGAACCUGCCCUUAGGUUCGGAAUAACUCCCCGAAAGGGGUGCUAAUACCGGAUAAUGUCUUCGGACCAAAGAUUUAUCGCCUUUGGAUGGGCCCGCGUUGGAUUAGCUAGUUGGUAGGGUAAAAGCCUACCAAGGCGACGAUCCAUAGCUGGUCUGAGAGGAUGAUCAGCCACACUGGGACUGAGACACGGCCCAGACUCCUGCGGGAGGCAGCAGUGGGGAAUAUUGGCCAGUGGGCGAAAGCCUGAUCCAGCAAUGCCGCGUGAGUGAUGAAGGCCUUAGGGUUGUAAAGCUCUUUUACCCGGGAUGAUAAUGACAGUACCGGGAGAAUAAGCUCCGGCUAACUCCGUG
rnacentral:rRNA from 1 species